UUACAGAAGAUUUGUUGAAUGAACAUGAGGAAGUUAUGAAAAUGAAACUCCCUUAUGAGAAGAGCAAGGCUUUAUACGAUGCCAUUGCUGAAUGGGAAGCUACCUGGAGACAGUUUGUGGAGUUGGAGGUACCAGAAAAAAUCCACAAGCCCAAACAGAUGGGUUAACAGAGGUGACACUCUACUGACAGAUGAGAGAGAGCUCUCAAGGAUCCACAAGCUGUUAACAAAGAGACAAUCCAAAAGCAGACCAGCAGAGUCCACACUGCAAGCUCCAAACCAAGAGUGCGAAGAAAACUAACAACCCAGCACAUCAAAGCAUCAAUUCAGAUCAUUAGGCU